ACUACGGGUGGCAGCAGUGGGGAAUCUUCCGCAAUGGGCGAAAGCCUGACGGAGCAACGCCGCGUGAUCGAAUGAAGGCCUUCGGGUUGUAAAGAUCUGUUGACAGGGACGAAUAAGCAAUGCAAAUAGUUUUGUGUAUGACGGUACCUGUUUAGAAAGCUCCGGCUAACUACGUGCCAGCAGCCGCGGUAAUACGUAGGGAGCAAGCGUUGUCCGGAAUUACUGGGAGUAAAGGGCGCGUAGGUGGGCGCUUAAGUCAGGUGUGAAAACUCCGGGCUCAACCUGGAGACUGCACUUGAAACUGGGUGUCUUGAGGGCAGGAGAGGAAAGUGGAAUUCCUAGUGUAGCGGUGAAAUGCGUAGAUAUUAGGAGGAACACCAGUGGCGAAGGCGACUUUCUGGACUGUACCUGACGCUGAGGCGCGAAAGCGUGGGUAGCGAACGGGAUUAGAUACCCGUGUAGUC
rnacentral:rRNA from 1 species